rnacentral:lncRNA from 1 species
AAGUUCACUACUAUGAUAAUUACAGUAACUAAUUAGACUUCUGAUCAAAAUUUAUCGUAUCGUUAGGGAUAGUACUACAAAGCUUCAUCUCUUUUCGAAUUGGAAAAACUUGAACAUUGCAGGUGCAUGAUAACUCCGUCCAAGUUCACUACUAUGAUAAUUACAGUAACUAAUUAGACUUCUGAUCAAAAUUUAUCGUAUCGUUAGGGAUAGUACUACAAAGCUUCAUCUCUUUUCGAAUUGGAAAAACUUGAACAUUGCAGGUACAUGAUAACUCCGUCCAUGUCAAAUUUCAAAGUAUUUGUAACCGUCAUCAGAGUUGGUCAUUCCCUCUUCCCAAUCACCCAUCCGCUGACCACCAAAAACAACUUGUUGAAUGCCUACAU